rnacentral:misc_RNA from 1 species
GGGCAGUUGAGGCAUCAUCAUCAUAUAAGGUUGUGGGGGAGCUUGCUGGUAUUGCUGGGGGUGAGCUUGUGGAGGUGGUGGAGCCAUUGCUGGCGGUUGCGGCGGCCCCAUGGGUGGCUGUGGAGGGGGCAUGCCUCCAGCUCCUGGCUGCUGCAUCAUGGCGUCGAAGAUUGAGAUAUGAGAUAGAAAGAGAGAGAAGAAACCCUAGCUCCCGAGACAGCGAGAAUAAGUCUACAACGG